GGGUUGUGAGGUUAAGCGAACAAGCGUACACGGUGGAUGCCCUGGCAGUCAGAGGCGAUGAAGGACGUGCUAAUCUGCGAAAAGCGCCGGUAAGGUGAUAUGAACCGUUAUAACCGGCGAUGUCCGAAUGGGGAAACCCGGUGCACUUCGGUGCAUCAUCGUUAGCUGAAUACAUAGGCUAACGAAGCGAACCGGGGGAACUGAAA
rnacentral:rRNA from 1 species